rnacentral:rRNA from 1 species
CUACGGGUUGCUGCAGUGAGGAAUAUUGCACAAUGGGGGGAACCCUGAUGCAGCAACGCCGCGUGGAGGAUGACGCAUUUCGGUGUGUAAACUCCUUUUAUAUGUCAAGAAAAUGACGGUAGCAUAUGAAUAAGCACCGGCUAACUCCGUGCCAGCAGCCGCGGUAAUACGGAGGGUGCAAGCGUUACUCAGAAUCACUGGGCGUAAAGGACGCGUAGGCGGGUUGGAAAGUCAGGUGUGAAAUCCUACAGCUUAACUGUAGAACUGCACUUGAAACUUCUAAUCUAGAGUAUGGGAGGGGGAGAUGGAAUUAGUGGUGUAGGGGUAAUAUCCGUAGAUAUCACUAGGAAUACCUAAAGCGAAGGCGAUCUCCUGGAACAUUACUGACGCUAAGGCGUGAAAGCGUGGGGAGCAAACAGGAUUAGAUACCCGAGUAGUC